rfam:Aedes aegypti strain Liverpool supercont1.138 genomic scaffold, whole genome shotgun sequence.
CGUCUCAUGGCGUAGUGGUAACGCGCCCCAACUAGAGAUCGGGGAGUCGUGAGUUCGAUUCUCACUGAGAAGA